CUCCAGACUCCUACGGGAGGCAGCAGUGGGGAAUAUUGCACAAUGGGGGAAACCCUGAUGCAGCGACGCCGCGUGAGUGAAGAAGUAUUUCGGUAUGUAAAGCUCUAUCAGCAGGGAAGAAGAAGGACGGUACCUGACUAAGAAGCCCCGGCUAACUACGUGCCAGCAGCCGCGGUAAUACGUAGGGGGCAAGCGUUAUCCGGAUUUACUGGGUGUAAAGGGGGCGCAGACGGCAGCGCAAGCCAGGAGUGAAAGCCCGGGGCCCAACCCCGGGACUGCUCUUGGAACUGCGCGGCUGGAGUGCAGGAGGGGCAGGCGGAAUUCCUGGUGUAGCGGUGAAAUGCGUAGAUAUCAGGAGGAACACCGGUGGCGAAGGCGGCCUGCUGGACUGCGACUGAUGUUGAGGCCCGAAAGCGUGGGGAGCAAACAGGAUUAGAUACCCGAGUAA
rnacentral:rRNA from 1 species